rnacentral:rRNA from 1 species
AACGAACGCUGGCGGCAUGCCUAACACAUGCAAGUCGAACGAGACCUUCGGGUCUAGUGGCGCACGGGUGCGUAACGCGUGGGCAUCUGCCCUUGGGUUCGGAAUAACAGUUAAAAAUGACUGCUAAUACCGGAUGAUGACUUCGGUCCAAAGAUUUAUCGCCCGGGGAUGAGCCCGCGUAGGAUUAGCUUGUUGGUGAGGUAAAAGCUCACCAAGGCGACGAUCCUUAGCUGGUCUGAGAGGAUGAUCAGCCACACUGGGACUGAGACACGGCCCAGACUCCUACGGGAGGCAGCAGUGGGGAAUAUUGGACAAUGGGCGAAAGCCUGAUCCAGCAAUGCCGCGUGAGUGAUGAAGGCCUUAGGGUUGUAAAGCUCUUUUACCCGGGAUGAUAAUGACAGUACCGGGAGAAUAAGCCCCGGCUAACUCCGUGCCAGCCGCCGCGGUAACAC